GUCCAGCUGCACUGGCACGGGGCUGCCUUCCCUGUGAGGCUCCACAGCCCCGCACCUGCUGUGACUGCUGGGGGACAGCCUCAGGUCAUGUACUUCUGGGAGCAGAAACGAGAGGUGUGGGGGCUCAAGAGGACGACCAGCAAUUCUCUCCAGAAAGCGAAAGAAAGGAGACUGAGGCAAUCCUAGUUGGCCAAACCUCAGAUCUGAGAACCCUAAGACGCAGCAAGUAUUUCAGUGGGAAUUGAAAAUAUUUAGCUGCUGAUUGUACACUCCCUGGCCUCAGUGCUGGUCAUAGUUUGAACAAAACUGCUAAACGUUCCUUGAAUACACGCUUCCUCUUUUUGUCCUCAUGUCGUUGUCCUCGUCACUGAACACUGGUGCUUGGAAGAACAAAUCUUGUUUCCUUUUCGGCUACUCCGUAUGUUUCCCGUUGUAAAAUGUUGAUCCCCUGGAGCCUGUGGUGGGCAGUGGCGCCAUCAGAGUAGUUUACCUUCAGUUUUAAGAUGUUCGCACACGUCCGGCAGCAGCCGCCACGGUCUUGUUCUUGGGUGCACAGCUCUGGCCUUAGGCCUGUGUGUGUCUCACUGCAGAAAGGUGGGGUAAGACUGUCUAGUCUGUGUUGAAUUUAUCUCUUGAAUAAACUUGUUUCUGGUUAACCGUAUUGAUGAAAUCUGAGAGAGUCCGUUCUAGCCCUCGUAACACUUCAAAGAGGGUCAGCAGGCAGAUUAGAAACAAAUGUCUGAUCUGGACAAGGUGGGUUUCAGAGCUGCUAGAAUAACAGCAGGGGGAGAUUUUUGACUACCCUCUUUCCAGACUCAGUGGUGAAGGGGCACGCUGCACUUUUCUGAGUGGACAUGAGGGUAAGUGAGGUCGUCCCUCGAGAGAUGCCCCUCACUACCACUGGGAGGCCUCAAAGAGAAAGAGCUGAGGUUGAAUUCAGAGAAGUCAAAAGUGGCUUAUUCACACCUGGAAAAACAUCUUGCUUUUGAGGUAAAUUUGUACUGGUGAGAACAGCAAUUCUAGAGAAAAACCCUCAUGCAACACUACAAAUGAGUGUCUAUCAGGAAGAAACCAAGUAGAAGGCUUCUCAGACAGGUCUACGUCAGAAGCCAAAUGAUAGCAGCUGAGCUGCAGUAAUGAGGGGAUCGUGGCAGGAACUGGACACUUACCGUCAAUGAUCAGAGGGCACAGACUAGAGACUCAAAAGCCGCAACGGGUUUAUUGGCGAGAUACCUAAAUGCAAGCAUUUCAGGUCAAACUGGAGAACUCCGGUCCCCAAUGGAAUGGUGGUAAUUUCCACGGAAAAGUCCCCAGAGAAGCACGUUUCAGUUGCCGAAAGAGGACUAGCCUUAUGCAAAAAAGUAAGUGUUUUAAAAAGUUACAAACUUUACAUCACAUUUCAUUUUCUAAAAGCGGAAACCACCAAAUCGCUGGCGAGAUUUUUACAUAUGACCCUAAGAGAUUCAGAACUCUGAGGGCUGUUAUGACCGCACACUGGAGCAGAUGGAAUAAAAAUCAAAGGAAACUUUGGCCAGUGGGAAAAGUGCUCACUAUGACCCUAAGAAGGAAUUAGCUUUAAGUAAGCUCUUCAUGCUGCCGUCCCUCCACAUGCUGAAAGUUCUAAUCUCUCACAAUUAUUAAGAUGAUAAAACAAACAGAGUUUGAGCUACUGGAACAGAAGGUGCCGCCACAAUUUGCAAAUCUGCUGUGAAAGAACAGCUUGAAAAAACAAUAGGCAAUUUUCAGCAACUUUACAGACAAGUCCAAGUGCAGAGAUGUUCAUAUCUUGUCCCUGCUUACGUGUGUAUCCCCCGCGCUUGGCAUGGAGGAGCUCGGCGGACAGUGCGCGGCCGAGUCGGGGCAGGUGACGCGAGAACGCUCUGGGCAGAGCAAGGUGAUGACAGGGUGGGGCUGUGGCUAUAAAAUCAGUCUCUGCUCAGCUCAGCAGACAGGAAAUGACUGGCAGAAACGUGUGCGUGCUAAAUUUAUUUCAUGGAACCUCUAGUCUAAGCUGGAAAGGGACGGCUGGAAAAGAGUCGGGGCCUACAGGCACUCACCAAAUAAGAGCCCACAGGCACCGAACUGAGUGUUUAUUUAAACGACACUGACGACGGUCUUUCCUCGUGCGUGUCCUCUUUCUACCUUCAGGAAGGCUUCUGGAACUUUAGAAAACGGAAAGGUUUUCUCAAUAACUGGCUGAAUCUGUAAAACACAAGAAAGGUUGACGAGCAGGUGAGAAGAGCCGCGUGGGUCAAGUCGGGUGACGUCGGUAGUUGGUUGCGUCGCGUGCCCAGCCCGGACGGGCCUCUCUCCGGUCUGAGUGGUGCCCCCGGGUCAGGAACUCAAGGCGGGCCGGAAAGACGGCUGCCCCCGGCUUCUCUUGCCUCUUCGCGUCUCCGGUGCAGGUGUAAGUUGUCAGAAGGCAUAAGCCUACGUCUCGCAACCCUCUCCCUCUUACAAGAGGAAGAAGUACGUGCUUUUGUGUUCGCAUGCACCCGACAGACCUUGCUCUUGUGUGAAUUUCACAGCCCUGCCACCAGAGAGCAUCUCGGACUCCAAAAGUUCCCUUCUCCAGAGUUGAAAAUUCUUUUGUACCCACAAACCACGAUAAGCUCAUAAAAGUCACAGCACAUACUGUGCUCACCGUGUGCCAGGCACUCUUCUAAGUGCUCUGUAGCUUUUACUUCAUUUAAUCCCUACAACCACCUUAUGAGCAGGUGGGAAGCCCGAGUUUCAUGAAAAGAGAAAGAAGAGACAAAGGACAGCUAAGAUUCCUUCCUCCACCACAAAGCGCCCCGUGGACACUGCUGCUGGCUGCCGUCUGAACCAAGUGAAACUAAAGAACCCGGAGCACAGCGCCCAGUUUGUUCACUCCUAUCACCCAGACCCAGCUCCUAAGGACUGAGCAGCAGUCUCCUCCAUCACAGCUCUCCUUCACCACCUCUAAGGACUUAGUACACAGCAUUCAAGAGACCAAAGUCCUCAACUUCACCCCUCAAAAGGUUCCAAAUUAAUUUCGAGAAUCAAGGAGAAGCUAAAGAGAAUUAUCAAGCCAGUCAUCUUGCAAAUACAUGGCAGUGCUGGCUAGGUCGACGUGACUCACAACCUUUUCACCCUUGAGGAACCUUCUACUGCCUUUUUCCUGAGC